AACGAACGCUGGCGGCAUGCCUAACACAUGCAAGUCGAACGAGACCUUCGGGUCUAGUGGCGCACGGGUGCGUAACGCGUGGGAACCUGCCCUUAGGUUCGGAAUAACUCCCCGAAAGGGGUGCUAAUACCGGAUAAUGUCUUCGGACCAAAGAUUUAUCGCCUUUGGAUGGGCCCGCGUUGGAUUAGCUAGUUGGUAGGGUAAAAGCCUACCAAGGCGACGAUCCAUAGCUGGUCUGAGAGGAUGAUCAGCCACACUGGGACUGAGACACGGCCCAGACCCCUACGGGGGGCAGCAAGGGGGAAAAUGGGACAAUGGGCGAAAGCCUGAUCCAGAAAGGCCGGGGGAGUGAUGAAGGCCUUGGGGUGGUAAAGCUUUUUUACCCGGGAUGAAAAUGACAGUACCGGGAGAAUAAGCCCCGGCUAACCCCGG
rnacentral:rRNA from 1 species